UUUAGUCGGUAAAUUCAGCCUCCACGAGGAAACAUCCUCAAAUAGGUUGAGGCUGAACGACUUUGACGGGACCCGAAAUAUGCUUAUCUGUAGUACUAGAUUCCAGCGCAACAAAAUACAUCUAUCUACCUGGCUAUCUCCGGAUAGAAAAACCACCAAAUGAUAGACGGAAGAUACGUCUCCAGUGUACUAGACGUGCGUACGCUCCGGCAUUUCAAACUCCUUACGUACAGCUGCUACCGAAACCAUUGGUUUUCGGAAAAUGCAAAAGAACAGCUGGUACGACGAGGAGGGUCGUGCAGCGGAGAGAAAACAGACUGCCUACUUCACAGCGUUACGAUCGACCAGAACACGUGCGGGAUGGGAUAGAUACCGAGAGUUGAAGAGGGAAGCGAGACAGAUUUGACAGAAAAAAAGAGAGACCGAAAUGCGUGAGUACGAAGAGCUUGAUAAGCAGCCGACAGGGGUAAUGCUCGAAAAUUCUACGAAAAAAUGCGGCUACUAACAGAAGGUUCAAGACUGGAGCAUACUCUUAUGGAACCCUAGAGACCAUACCCAGAGCAUACUAAAAUUAUGGAGGUAACACUUAUCCAGCCUACAGAAUGACAGUGAAUGCAGAACGUCAGGAGAAGGCGAACCCGAAGUUGUAGAUAAUUUCGUCUAGUUUGGAACCAGCAUGUUGUUAAAUUUUUUCUCAUUUUUCACUUUGUAUAUUUCAAUAUACACUGUAAACAUUGAAAUAAGUUCAUAUUUCACUUAUAUUUUCUUAUAAUUUAGCUAUAUUUAUUAAUUUUAAAAACACUUGUCACACUCAUCGUUGAAAAAGUCAAGAAUGAUAGAAACAAAGAUUGCGCAAUGACGAGUUCAAAUUUUGUUCGUCCUGCGCAUCUACGUCACGGUUAACCAACGUACAAUCAGCUGAUUUUCAGUUGUUUGUUUUUCUUUGCAAUAAGAAGCAAUUUUGUGUUGCAGGCAUACAAAAACAUGAACAUCAUCAAAAGUUAACAUCAAUAUAACGCGCCAGUCGUUUCUUCUUUUCGCUACGUGGCGCCAAUUGGAUAUUCCAAGCGAAGCCAGGCCCUUCUCCAAUUGGUCUUUCCAACGAAGUGGAGGUCUUCCUCUUCCUCUGCUUCCCCCGGCGGGUACAGCGUCGAAUACUUUCAGAGCUGGAGUGUUUUCGUCCAUCCGGACAACAUAACCUAGCCAGCGUAGCCGCUGCCUUUUAAUUCGCUGAACUAUGUCAAUGUCGUCGUAUAUCUCGUACAGCUCAUCGUUCCAUCGAAUGCGAUAUUCGCCGUGACCAACGCGCAAAGGACUCGCAACGUCGACUCAUCCGUUGUUGACAUCGUCCAAGCCUCUGCACCAUAUAGCAGGAGGUUGUUUAUAAAACCUGCAAAAAGUAAUGAAUUUCGAUGACCUUGUGGAAGAAAUGGAUGCCGAAGUGGAAUGCUCACAACCGUUGAGCUCCCAUGGAGAUUGUAUUGAAGAUAAAUAUUUUGCAUUUUUUAAUAAUUUCUUUUACAGAUAAAGUGUUAACAAAAGAUAUGUUAUAAUCUCGGUUGCGCUUCAUCAGAAAAAACUUCAAAAAUUGUGGUACCGUCAACAUCGUCUGGUGGCAGCUAUAAUAUAUAAUCUAAAAGCUGGAUGCCAUUGAGACCCUGGUAGCAAAACUCAUAAGUGGUGUUGAUGACCGUCUCACUGCCAUUGAAAAGGCUAUUAACGACAAAGUAAUGCAGUUUUACAUUUACAAAAUAAAGCAAAAACUAAAGCUGCGGAGGCACGCCAUUCAAUUAGCCGCAUCACCGAUGAUUAUUCAUUCAAACUCCCUUUUGUGUUAGUGGCCUUCGGACGCGCAGAUCCAACAUCGAGAUUUAUCUGAAAGAUUUUGCGUUGCUCUUCAUACGAUAAUGAAUAUUUUAUUGAUGGUAUAAUCUUUCUUUUUUAUUUAUUUUUAUUCGUUUAAAUAAUAUGGUAACAUUUAUUUUUUGCUUGCUCUCAACUAUUUUCUUAUUGUAUGAAUAACUGGAUUCCAAAAAAAAAUUAAAUAUUGAUUAAAGUUA